rnacentral:rRNA from 1 species
CCAAUCACAGAGCACCUGCGGGCGCUCGCUCCCCUCGGGGGGCGAGGGCCCGCCGUUUACAGGAUCCGCCGGCGCGUGAGCUCCCCUCGGGGGGCGACCGCGCCGGGCCGGAGCCCUAACCCAUUGAACCCUCUGCCCUGAAGCAGCUUCGCACGGGGACACCCCUGCGAUAGUAACUGAGACAACUCUCAACAACGGAUAUCUUGGCUCUCGCAACGAUGAAGAACGCAGCGAAAUGCGAUACGUAGUGUGAAUUGCAGAAUUCCGUGAGUCAUCGAAUCUUUGAACGCACAUUGCCGGUCGACUCUUCGGAGGAGACCACAUCUGCCUCAGCGUCGGAAUACCCCCUCACGCACCCCCGCGUGGACCUGGCCCCCCCGGACGCCUCGGCGCCCGGGCCGGCUGAAAUACAGAGGCUCGCGCGCGGCCCAUUCGUGGCCCCGACUAGGUAGGUAGCUCGCUACUUCUAGGCGGUGGCUCGGUGUCGCGUGCUGUGGGCCCGAAAGGAUACCAAUCCAUUCAUUCGACCUGAGUUCAGGUGAGGCUACCCGCUGAACUUAAGCAUAUCAAUAAGCGGAAGGAAA